GGAAGGAUCAUUAACACGUAUCCACGUAUCCACCCUUCGUGCACUCGUUUUCCCUCCCUGUCUGUCCACAUGCAUUGGAACUCUGUCGCGCUUUGAUUGGGACCCGUUACACGGUCGGCGCGGCGAGUAUACUGAAGGAAGCCUCGGCUCCUUUCGACAAUGGUAGUGGAACGGCAGGCAACCAUUUCUGCUAGGAGCGUCUCCUUUCAAGACGUAACUGGUGGAUGCACAUUCACACCUUUCACCCCCUUUUUGCUAGUUGACUUUUUUAAUGUUGAGUUGUCUGUAUUCAUUUACAUAUUGCUCACACGUUUAAUUACUUGAACGUUAAAAUACAACUCUUAGCGAUGGAUAUCUAGGUUCUCGCAACGAUGAAGAACGCAGCGAAAUGCGAUACGUAAUGCGAAUUGCAGAAUUCAGUGAAUCAUCAAAUCUUUGAACGCAAAUUGCGCUCUUGGGUAGCCCUAGGAGCACGCCUCUCUCAGUAUCGGUUCAACCUCCUCUCAGCAGCGUGCAGCAAUGCGCGUGUAGCUGGACAAUGAGAGUCGGAAUGUACUAUUUCGUCUCUUGAAAUCUAUGGAGUGCGCUCUACAACCCCCUCUCAGAUCCGCCAUUGGCGGAUAGGCAGUCUCGGACUGUCGCUGAUGAGUGACGUGAAUACUGACCCUCGGGUCUUUUCUACGUGAACUCGGCUAGCGAUUAUACAAAGUCUAGGAUACCGAACGAAGAAGGAGGAGCUCGCGGAACGUGGCCUCACAGCUACAAUCGGCUUUGACUUAACACUCGAAGUCUGAAUUUUGAUCUGAGAUGAAGCGAGACAACCCCUGAAUUUAAGCAUAUUAAUAAGGGGAGGAAAAGAAACUAACAAGGAUUCCUCUAGUAACGGCGAGUGAAGCAGGAAGAGCUCAAUUUGAAAAUCGAUAUCCUAAGCGGGACAUCGAAUUGUAGCCUAGAGACGUACUAUCAGCUGAAACCUGGGUAUAAGUUCUUUGGAAUGAGACGUCAUAGAGGGUGAGAAUCCCGUAUAUGACCCAAAGCUUUCAGCGUACGAUGUAUGUUCAUCGAGUCGAGUUGUUUGGGAUUGCAGCUCUAAAUGGGUGGUAAGUUUCAUCUAAAGCUAAAUAAUGGCGAGAGACCGAUAGCGAACAAGUACCGUGAGGGAAAGAUGAAAAGAACUUUGAAAAGAGAGUUAAAAGUACUUGAAAUCGCUAAGAGGGAAGCGCUGGCAACCAGUGUCAUGCGUCGUUCAUCGGCUUCAGCCCCUGUAGCUGUCGUGUGCAGUUGGAAACUCUGCUUACGGCCGUGAGAGGGUGGUUGGAGUUUUGGGACGGCGUGUUAGUCAAGAUCCAUGCGGUGAGGGGGAGAAGGUGGGGGGGAAGGUAGGAGCUUUGCUCUGUUAUAGACCCCUUACUCUACCUCGCGCUGCAUGGAGGAAGGAAUAGUGCGCUGCUUGCGGCUUAGUCCCGUGUUCCUAUGCUUUUAGCUGUUCUGAUAGCAAUGCUAUCCUUGUGGCGAAGAGGUAUACUGGGCGCGAGGAUUCUAUGUGCUAUCACGAUCUUGUACGAAAUGGUUGUCAUCGACCCGUCUUGAAACACGGACCAAGGAGUCUAACAUCUAUGCGAGUAUUUGGGUGCAAAACCCUGAUGCGCAAUGAAAGUAAAGGCAGUUUCGGCUGCUGAGGUAGGAAUCCGGCAACGGAGGCACUAUCGACCGAUCCUCACUUGUGAAAGAUUUGAGUAAGAGCAUAUCUGUUGGGACCCGAAAGAUGGUGAUCUAUGCCUGAACAGGGUGAAGCCAGGGGAAACUCUGGUGGAGGCUCGUAGCGAUACUGACGUGCAAAUCGUUCGUCUGAUUUGGGUAUAGGGGCGAAAGACUAAUCGAACCAUCUAGUAGCUGGUUCCCUC
rnacentral:misc_RNA from 1 species